UUAAUCAGUCUUCUGGGAAAUCUAAUCGCUUAACUAUUAGGCUUCCAGGGGAUACUGUUAGACUUGGGACCGGGAGAGGUAAGAGGUACUGCAGGGGUAGGAGUGAAAUCUUGUAAUCCCUGUGAGACCACCAGUGGCGAAGGCGUCUUACCAGAACGGGUCCGACGGUGAGGGACGAAAGCUGGGGGCACGAACCGGAUUAGAUACCCGGGUAGUCCCAGCUGUAAACGAUGCUCGUUAGGUGUCAGGAACGGUGCGACUGUUUCUGGUGCCGAAGGGAAGCCGUGAAACGAGCCACCUGGGAAGUACGGCCGCAAGGCUGAAACUUAAAGGAAUUGGCGGGGGAGCACUACAACGGGUGGAGCCUGCGGUUUAAUUGGACUCAACGCCGGAAAACUCACCGGGGGCGACAGCAAUAUGUAGGUCAGGUUAAAGGUCUUACCUGAAUCGCUGAGAGGAGGUGCAUGGCCGUCGUCAGUUCGUACUGUGAAGCAUCCUGUUAAGUCAGGCAACGAGCAAGACCCGUGCCCACUGUUACCAGCAUAUCCUUUAUGGAUGAUGGGGACUCUGUGGGGACCGCUGCUGCUAAAGCAGAGGAAGGUGCGGGCUACGGUAGGUCAGUAUGCCCCGAAUCUCCCGGGCUACACGCGGGCUACAAUGGUUGGGACAAUGGGUAUCUACUCCGAAAGGAGUUGGCAAUCUCUUAAACCCAAUCGUAGUUCGAAUUGAGGGCUGUAACUCGCCCUCAUGAAGCUGGAAUCCGUAGUAAUCGCGUUUCAACAUAGCGCGGUGA
rnacentral:rRNA from 1 species